CACCUUACACCUAGCCCAAAUGUUUGACCUUAAAACAAAUAUUAAAUCACCAAUACCCUAAAUAUAAACCCAAUAAACCAUUCUUUUACCCCAGUAUAGGAGAUAGAAAAGGAA
rnacentral:rRNA from 1 species